CAGUCGCCGCGGGAAUACGAAGGGUGCAAGCGUUAAUCGGAAUUACUGGGCGUAAAGCGCGCGUAGGUGGUUUGUUAAGUUGGAUGUGAAAUCCCCGGGCUCAACCUGGGAACUGCAUUCAAAACUGACUGACUAGAGUAUGGUAGAGGGUGGUGGAAUUUCCUGUGUAGCGGUGAAAUGCGUAGAUAUAGGAAGGAACACCAGUGGCGAAGGCGACCACCUGGACUAAUACUGACACUGAGGUGCGAAAGCGUGGGGAGCAAACAGGAUUAGAUACCCCCGUAGUCCCUGUCUCUUAUAA
rnacentral:rRNA from 1 species